rnacentral:rRNA from 1 species
GGAUCAGCGGCGAACGGGUGAGUAACACGUGAGCAACCUGCCCCUGACUCUGGGAUAGCCUCGGGAAACCGGGAUUAAUACCGGAUAUGACAUUGCCUCGCAUGGGGUGGUGUGGAAAGUUUUUCGGUCAGGGAUGGGCUCGCGGCCUAUCAGCUUGUUGGUGGGGUGAUGGCCUACCAAGGCGACGACGGGUAGCCGGCCUGAGAGGGUGACCGGCCACACUGGGACUGAGACACGGCCCAGACUCCUACGGGAGGCAGCAGUGGGGAAUAUUGCGCAAUGGGCGAAAGCCUGACGCAGCGACGCCGCGUGAGGGAUGAAGGCCUUCGGGUUGUAAACCUCUUUCAGCAGGGAAGAAGCGCAAGUGACGGUACCUGCAGAAGAAGCACCGGCUAACUACGUGCCAGCAGCCGCGGUAAUACGUAGGGUGCAAGCGUUGUCCGGAAUUAUUGGGCGUAAAGAGCUCGUAGGCGGUUUGUCGCGUCUGCUGUGAAAACGCGGGGCUCAACUCCGCGCCUGCAGUGGGUACGGGCAGACUAGAGUGCAGUAGGGGAGACUGGAAUUCCUGGUGUAGCGGUGGAAUGCGCAGAUAUCAGGAGGAACACCGGUGGCGAAGGCGGGUCUCUGGGCUGUAACUGACGCUGAGGAGCGAAAGCGUGGGUAGCGAACAGGAUUAGAUACCCUGGUAGUCCACGCCGUAAACGUUGGGCGCUAGGUGUGGGGCUCAUUCCACGAGUUCCGUGCCGCAGCAAACGCAUUAAGCGCCCCGCCUGGGGAGUACGGCCGCAAGGCUAAAACUCAAAGGAAUUGACGGGGCCCCGCACAAGCGGCGGAGCAUGCGGAUUAAUUCGAUGCAACGCGAAGAACCUUACCAAGGCUUGACAUGCAGGGUAAUCCGGCAGAGAUGUCGGGUCCGCAAGGGAUCCUGCACAGGUGGUGCAUGGUUGUCGUCAGCUCGUGUCGUGAGAUGUUGGGUUAAGUCCCGCAACGAGCGCAACCCUCGUCCUAUGUUGCCAGCGCGUGAUGGCGGGGACUCAUAGGAGACUGCCGGGGUCAACUCGGAGGAAGGUGGGGAUGACGUCAAAUCAUCAUGCCCCUUAUGUCUUGGGCUUCACGCAUGCUACAAUGGCCAGUACAAAGGGCUGCGAGACCGUGAGGUGGAGCGAAUCCCAAAAAGCUGGUCUCAGUUCGGAUCGGGGUCUGCAACUCGACCCCGUGAAGUCGGAGUCGCUAGUAAUCGCAGAUCAGCAACGCUGCGGUGAAUACGUUCCCGGGGGCUUGUACACACCGCCCGUCACGUCACGAAAGUUGGUAACACCCGAAGCCGGUGGCCU